GAUGAAGAACGUAGCGAAAUGCGAUAAGUAGUGUGAAUUGCAGAAUUCAGUGAAUCAUCGAAUCUUUGAACGCACAUUGCGCCUCCUGGUAUUCCGGGAGGCAUGCCUGUUCGAGCGUCAUUAAAAUCACUCAAGCUUAGGUUUACCUAUUGCUUGGUCUUGGAGAUGGAAGCCAAUUCAUUGGAAUCCUCUUCGAAAUCCAAUGGCGAAGACCCUUGCUCUCCCAAGUGUAGUAAUAACUUAUGUGACUGAAGGAAGCGAGAAAUCUUCCGCCGUAACCCCCAUAUUUUCUAUGAUUGACCUCGGAUCAGGUAGGGAUACCCGCUGAACUUAAGCAUAUCAAUAAGCGGAGGA
rnacentral:misc_RNA from 1 species